AGAAACCAGUAGAAACAAUAGAAACCAGGAGAAACAAAAGAAACCAGGAGAAAUGAGUAGAAACCAGGAGAAACAAAAACAGUAGAAACCAGGAGAAACAAUAGAAACCAGUAGACACCAGUGGAAACAGUAGAAACCAGUAGACACCAGUAGAAAACAGUAGAAACCAGGAGAAACCAGUAGAAACAGGAGAAACUAGGAGAAACCAGGAGAAAAUAGAAACCAGGAGAAAUGAGUAGAAACCAGUAGAAACAAUAGAAACCAGUAGAAACAAAAGAAACCAGGAGAAAUGAGUAGAAACCAGGAGAAACAAUAGAAACCAGUAGACAUCAGUAGAAACCAGGAGAAACCAGGAGAAAAUAGAAACCAGGAGAAAUGAGUAGAAACCAGUAGAAACAAUAGAAACCAGGAGAAACAAAAGAAGCCAGUAGAAACAAUAGAAACCAGGAGAAACAAAAGAAACCAGGAGAAAUGAGUAGAAACCAGGAGAAA